rnacentral:rRNA from 1 species
AUUGAACGCUGGCGGCAUGCUUUACACAUGCAAGUCGAACGGCAGCGCGGGGCAACCUGUCGGCGAGUGGCGAACGGGUGAGUAAUACAUCGGAACGUACCCAGAAGUGGGGGAUAACGUAGCGAAAGUUACGCUAAUACCGCAUACGUUCUACGGAAGAAAGUGGGGGACCUUCGGGCCUCAUGCUUUUGGAUCUGCCGAUGUCUGAUUAGCUAGUUGGUGAGGUAAAGGCUCACCAAGGCGACGAUCAGUAGCUGGUCUGAGAGGACGACCAGCCACACUGGGACUGAGACACGGCCCAGACUCCUACGGGAGGCAGCAGUGGGGAAUUUUGGACAAUGGGCGCAAGCCUGAUCCAGCAAUGCCGCGUGAGUGAAGAAGGCCUUCGGGUUGUAAAGCUCUUUUGUCAGGGAAGAAACGGCUGAGGAUAAUACCUUCGGCUAAUGACGGUACCUGAAGAAUAAGCACCGGCUAACUACGUG